rnacentral:rRNA from 1 species
GAUGAACGCUGGCGGCGUGCCUAAUACAUGCAAGUCGAGCGAACGGACGAGAAGCUUGCUUCUCUGAUGUUAGCGGCGGACGGGUGAGUAACACGUGGAUAACCUACCUAUAAGACUGGGAUAACUUCGGGAAACCGGAGCUAAUACCGGAUAAUAUUUUGAACCGCAUGGUUCAAAAGUGAAAGACGGUCUUGCUGUCACUUAUAGAUGGAUCCGCGCUGCAUUAGCUAGUUGGUAAGGUAACGGCUUACCAAGGCAACGAUGCAUAGCCGACCUGAGAGGGUGAUCGGCCACACUGGAACUGAGACACGGUCCAGACUCCUACGGGAGGCAGCAGUAGGGAAUCUUCCGCAAUGGGCGAAAGCCUGACGGAGCAACGCCGCGUGAGUGAUGAAGGUCUUCGGAUCGUAAAACUCUGUUAUUAGGGAAGAACAUAUGUGUAAGUAACUGUGCACAUCUUGACGGUACCUAAUCAGAAAGCCACGGCUAACUACGUGCCAGCAGCCGCGGUAAUACGUAGGUGGCAAGCGUUAUCCGGAAUUAUUGGGCGUAAAGCGCGCGUAGGCGGUUUUUUAAGUCUGAUGUGAAAGCCCACGGCUCAACCGUGGAGGGUCAUUGGAAACUGGAAAACUUGAGUGCAGAAGAGGAAAGUGGAAUUCCAUGUGUAGCGGUGAAAUGCGCAGAGAUAUGGAGGAACACCAGUGGCGAAGGCGACUUUCUGGUCUGUAACUGACGCUGAUGUGCGAAAGCGUGGGGAUCAAACAGGAUUAGAUACCCUGGUAGUCCACGCCGUAAACGAUGAGUGCUAAGUGUUAGGGGGUUUCCGCCCCUUAGUGCUGCAGCUAACGCAUUAAGCACUCCGCCUGGGGAGUACGACCGCAAGGUUGAAACUCAAAGGAAUUGACGGGGACCCGCACAAGCGGUGGAGCAUGUGGUUUAAUUCGAAGCAACGCGAAGAACCUUACCAAAUCUUGACAUCCUUUGACAACUCUAGAGAUAGAGCUUUCCCCUUCGGGGGACAAAGUGACAGGUGGUGCAUGGUUGUCGUCAGCUCGUGUCGUGAGAUGUUGGGUUAAGUCCCGCAACGAGCGCAACCCUUAAGCUUAGUUGCCAUCAUUAAGUUGGGCACUCUAAGUUGACUGCCGGUGACAAACCGGAGGAAGGUGGGGAUGACGUCAAAUCAUCAUGCCCCUUAUGAUUUGGGCUACACACGUGCUACAAUGGACAAUACAAAGGGCAGCGAAACCGUGAGGUCAAGCAAAUCCCAUAAAGUUGUUCUCAGUUCGGAUUGUAGUCUGCAACUCGGCUACAUGAAGCUGGAAUCGCUAGUAAUCGUAGAUCAGCAUGCUACGGUGAAUACGUUCCCGGGUCU